rnacentral:rRNA from 1 species
AUUGAACGCUGGCGGCAUGCUUUACACAUGCAAGUCGAACGGUAACAGGCCGCAAGGUGCUGACGAGUGGCGAACGGGUGAGUAAUGCAUCGGAACGUGCCCAGUCGUGGGGGAUAACGCAGCGAAAGCUGCGCUAAUACCGCAUACGAUCUGUGGAUGAAAGCGGGGGACCGAAAGGCCUCGCGCGAUUGGAGCGGCCGAUGUCAGAUUAGGUAGUUGAUGGGGUAAAGGCCCACCAAGCCAACGAUCUGUAGCUGGUCUGAGAGGACGACCGGCCACACGGGGACUGGGACACGGCCCAGACUCUGACGGGAGGCAGCAGUGGGGAAUUUUGGACAGGGGGCGCAAGCCUGAUCCAGCAAUGCCGCGUGCAGGAAGAAGGCCUUCGGGUUGUAAACUGCUUUUGUACGGAGCGAAACGGCUCUGGUUAAUACCUGGGGCUAAUGACGGUACCGUAAGAAUAAGCACCGGCUAACUACGUGCCAGCAGCCGCCGUAAGAC